GAUGAACGCUGGCGGCGUGCCUAAUACAUGCAAGUCGAGCGAAAAGACGAGGAGCUUGCUCCUCUGACGUUAGCGGCGGACGGGUGAGUCACACGUGGAUACCCCCCCUAUAAGACUGGGAUAACUUCGGGAAACCGGAGAUAAUACCGGAUAAUAUAUUGAACCGCAUGGUUCAAUGGUGAAAGACGGUUUUGCUGUCACUACUAGAUGGUUCCGCGCCGCAUUAGCUAGUUGGUAAGGUAACGGCUUACCAAGGCAACGAUGCGUAGCCGACCUGAGAGGGUGAUCGGCCACACUGGAACUGAGACACGGUCCAGACUCCUACGGGAGGCAGCAGUAGGGAAUCGUCCGCAAUGGGCGAAAGCCUGACGGAGCAACGCCGCGUGAGUGAUGAAGGUCUUCGGAUCGUAAAACUCUGUUAUUAGGGAAGAACAAAUGUGUAAGUAACUAUGCACGUCUUGACGGUACCUAAUCAGAAAGCCACGGCUAACUACGUG
rnacentral:rRNA from 1 species